CCAAUAGCGUAUAUUAAAGUUGUUGCAGUUAAAAAGCUCGUAGUUGAAUUUCGGGGUUCUACCGUUGGUCGGGCUAUAGUCUGUACUGGCGUGUGGAAUUUCUACCUUCUGGGGAACUAUCAUGUUAUUAAUUUAGCGUGGUAGGAAACCAGAACCUUUACCUUGCAAAAAUUAGAGUGUUCAAAGCAGGCUUACGUCUGAAUACAUUAGCAUGGAAUAAUAAAAUAGGACGGUGGUCCUGUUUUGUUGGUUUCUGAAUCACCGUAAUGAUUAAUAGGGAUAGUUGGGGGCAUUAGUAUUCAAUUGUCAGAGGUGAAAUUCUUGGAUUUAUUGAAGACUAACUUCUGCGAAAGCAUUUGCCAAGGAUGUUUUCAUUAAUCAAGAACGAAAGUUAGGGGAUCGAAGACGAUCAGAUACCGUCGUAGUCUUAACCAUAAACUAUGCCGACUAGGAAUCGGACGAUGUUAAUUUUUCUUGACUCGUUCGGCGCCUUACG
rnacentral:rRNA from 1 species